rnacentral:rRNA from 1 species
CCUACGGGUGGCAGCAGUGAGGAAUAUUGGUCAAUGGCCGGAAGGCUGAACCAGCCAAGCCGCGUGAAGGACGAAGGUGCCAAGCAUUGUAAACUUCUUUUGUCAAGGGACAAAAUCAGGCUCGAGAGCCUGACCGAGGGUACUUGAAGAAAAAGCAUCGGCUAACUCCGUGCCAGCAGCCGCGGUAAUACGGAGGAUGCGAGCGUUAUCCGGAUUUACUGGGUGUAAAGGGAGCGUAGACGGCACUGCAAGUCCGGAGUGAAAGCCCAAGGCUUAACCAUGGGACUGCUCUGGAAACUGUGGAGCUUGAGUGCGGGAGGGGCAGGCGGAAUUCCUAGUGUAGCGGUGAAAUGCGUAGAUAUUAGGAGGAACACCGGCGGCGAAGGCGGCCUGCUGGACCGUAACUGACGUUGAGGCUCGAAAGCGUGGGGAGCAAACAGGAUUAGAUACCCGGGUAGUC